rnacentral:rRNA from 1 species
ACUAAGCGUACACGGUGGAUGCCCUGGCAGUCAGAGGCGAUGAAGGACGUGCUAAUCUGCGAUAAGCGCCGGUAAGGUGAUAUGAACCGUUAUAACCGGCGAUUUCCGAAUGGGGAAACCCAGUGUGACUCGUCACACUAUCAUUAACUGAAUCCAUAGGUUAAUGAGGCGAACCGGGGGAACUGAAACAUCUAAGUACCCCGAGGAAAAGAAAUCAACCGAGAUUCCCCCAGUAGCGGCGAGCGAACGGGGAUGAGCCCAGAGCCUGAAUCAGCAUGUGUGUUAGUGGAAGCGUCUGGAAAGGCGCGCGAUACAGGGUGACAGCCCCGUACACAAAAGCGCAUAUGCUGUGAGCUCGAUGAGUAGGGCGGGACACGUGGUAUCCUGUCUGAAUAUGGGGGGACCAUCCUCCAAGGCUAAAUACUCCUGACUGACCGAUAGUGAACCAGUACCGUGAGGGAAAGGCGAAAAGAACCCCGGCGAGGGGAGUGAAAAAGAACCUGAAACCGUGUACGUACAAGCAGUGGGAGCCCCACCACUAAGCCAGUGGUGAACUCCACAUACGCAUCCUUUGCUGAGGAUGCGGUUAACGGAGCGAAAGCGACGUUCAACCGCAAAAGAAGCAGAGGGGGCUUAGUGGUGGGGUGACUGCGUACCUUUUGUAUAAUGGGUCAGCGACUUAUAUUCUGUAGCAAGGUUAACCGAAUAGGGGAGCCGGAGGGAAACCGAGUCUUAAUUGGGCGUUAAGUUGCAGGGUAUAGACCCGAAACCCGGUGAUCUAGCCAUGGGCAGGUUGAAGGUUGGGUAACACUAACUGGAGGACCGAACCGACUAAUGUUGAAAAAUUAGCGGAUGACCUGUGGCUGGGGGUGAAAGGCCAAUCAAACCGGGAGAUAGCUGGUUCUCCCCGAAAGCUAUUUAGGUAGCGCCUCGUGAAUUCAUCUCCGGGGGUAGAGCACUGUUUCGGCUAGGGGGCCAUCCCGGCUUACCAACCCGAUGCAAACUGCGAAUACCGGAGAAUGUUAUCACGGGAGACACACGGCGGGUGCUAACGUCCGUCGUGAAGAGGGAAACAACCCAGACCGCCAGCUAAGGUCCCAAAGUCAUGGUUAAGUGGGAAACGAUGUGGGAAGGCCCAGACAGCCAGGAUGUUGGCUUAGAAGCAGCCAUCAUUUAAAGAAAGCGUAAUAGCUCACUGGUCGAGUCGGCCUGCGCGGAAGAUGUAACGGGGCUAAACCAUGCACCGAAGCUGCGGCAGCGACACUAUGUGUUGUUGGGUAGGGGAGCGUUCUGUAAGCCUGUGAAGGUGGCCUGUGAGGGUUGCUGGAGGUAUCAGAAGUGCGAAUGCUGACAUAAGUAACGAUAAAGCGGGUGAAAAGCCCGCUCGCCGGAAGACCAAGGGUUCCUGUCCAACGUUAAUCGGGGCAGGGUGAGUCGACCCCUAAGGCGAGGCCGAAAGGCGUAGUCGAUGGGAAACGGGUUAAUAUUCCCGUACUUGGUGUUACUGCGAAGGGGGGACGGAGAAGGCUAUGUUGUCCGGGCGACGGUUGUCCCGGUUUAAGCGUGUAGGUGUGUGUUCCAGGUAAAUCCGGUUCACUUUAACACUGAGGCGUGAUGACGAGGCACUACGGUGCUGAAGCAACAAAUGCCCUGCUUCCAGGAAAAGCCUCUAAGCAUCAGGUAACAUCAAAUCGUACCCCAAACCGACACAGGUGGUCAGGUAGAGAAUACCAAGGCGCUUGAGAGAACUCGGGUGAAGGAACUAGGCAAAAUGGUGCCGUAACUUCGGGAGAAGGCACGCUGACAUGUAGGUGAAGUGAUUUACUCAUGGAGCUGAAGUCAGUCGAAGAUACCAGCUGGCUGCAACUGUUUAUUAAAAACACAGCACUGUGCAAACACGAAAGUGGACGUAUACGGUGUGACGCCUGCCCGGUGCCGGAAGGUUAAUUGAUGGGGUCAGCGCAAGCGAAGCUCCUGAUCGAAGCCCCGGUAAACGGCGGCCGUAACUAUAACGGUCCUAAGGUAGCGAAAUUCCUUGUCGGGUAAGUUCCGACCUGCACGAAUGGCGUAAUGAUGGCCAGGCUGUCUCCACCCGAGACUCAGUGAAAUUGAACUCGCUGUGAAGAUGCAGUGUACCCGCGGCAAGACGGAAAGACCCCGUGAACCUUUACUAUAGCUUGACACUGAACAUUGAGCCUUGAUGUGUAGGAUAGGUGGGAGGCUUUGAAGUGUGGACGCCAGUCUGCAUGGAGCCGGCCUUGAAAUACCACCCUUUAAUGUUUGAUGUUCUAACGUGGACCCGUGAUCCGGGUUGCGGACAGUGUCUGGUGGGUAGUUUGACUGGGGCGGUCUCCUCCUAAAGAGUAACGGAGGAGCACGAAGGUUGGCUAAUCCUGGUCGGACAUCAGGAGGUUAGUGCAAUGGCAUAAGCCAGCUUGACUGCGAGCGUGACGGCGCGAGCAGGUGCGAAAGCAGGUCAUAGUGAUCCGGUGGUUCUGAAUGGAAGGGCCAUCGCUCAACGGAUAAAAGGUACUCCGGGGAUAACAGGCUGAUACCGCCCAAGAGUUCAUAUCGACGGCGGUGUUUGGCACCUCGAUGUCGGCUCAUCACAUCCUGGGGCUGAAGUAGGUCCCAAGGGUAUGGCUGUUCGCCAUUUAAAGUGGUACGCGAGCUGGGUUUAGAACGUCGUGAGACAGUUCGGUCCCUAUCUGCCGUGGGCGCUGGAGAACUGAGGGGGGCUGCUCCUAGUACGAGAGGACCGGAGUGGACGCAUCACUGGUGUUCGGGUUGUCAUGCCAAUGGCACUGCCCGGUAGCUAAAUGCGGAAGAGAUAAGUGCUGAAAGCAUCUAAGCACGAAACUUGCCCCGAGAUGAGUUCUCCCUGAGACUUAGAGUCUCCUGAAGGAACGUUGAAGACGACGACGUUGAUAGGCCGGGUGUGUAAGCGCAGCGAUGCGUUGAGCUAACCGGUACUAAUGAACCGUGAGGCUUAACC